rnacentral:rRNA from 1 species
GUGACAGCAGCCGCGGUAAUACGUAGGGGCCGAGCGUUGUCCGGAGUUACUGGGCGUAAAGCGUGCGCAGGCGGCUGAUUCUGCCCGGCGUGAAAGCCCCCGGCUCAACCGGGGAACGUCGUCGGGGACGGGUCGGCUUGAGGGUGUCAGGGGCUGGUGGAAUUCCCGGUGUAGUGGUGAAAUGCGUAGAGAUCGGGAGGAACACCCGUGGCGAAGGCGGCCAGCUGGGACACACCUGACGCUGAGGCACGAAGGCGUGGGGAGCGAACGGGAUUAGAAACCCCGGUAGUCC